UAGUCAUAUGCUUGUCUCAAAGAUUAAGCCUUGCAUGUCUAAGUAUAAGCAAUCUAUACGGUGAAACUGCGAAUGGCUCAUUAAAUCAGUUAUCGUUUAUUUGAUAGUACCUUACUACUUGGAUAACCGGGGUAAUUCUAGAGCUAAUACAUGCUAAAAACCCCGACUUCGGAAGGGGUGUAUUUAUUAAAUAAAAAACCAAUGCCCUUCGGGGCUCCUUGGUGAUUCAUAAUAACUUAACGAAUCGCAGGGCCUUGUGCCGGCGAUGGUUCAUUCAAAUUUCUGCCCUAUCAACUUUCGAUUGUAAGGUAGUGGCUUACAAUGGUUUCAACGGGUAACGGGAAAUUAGGGUUCUAUUCCGGAGAGGGAGCCUGAAAAACGGCUACCACAUCCAAGGAAGGCAGCAGGCGCGCAAAUUACCCAAUCCCGACACGGGGAGGUAGUGACAAUAAAUACUGAUACAGGGCUCUUUUGGGUCUUGUAAUUGGAAUGAGUACAAUUUAAAUCCCUUAACGAGGAACAAUU
rnacentral:rRNA from 1 species